rnacentral:lncRNA from 1 species
AAAGGGUUGAUGUUUGGUCGCUUCUUUCAGGUACAGGUUUCUCAGGAGGCCUCCUGACAGCCAGCUGAUCCCCGUGUUCCUCCAUCCUCAUGCCUCACAAAUAAGACCUCAGGGAUCUCAUUAGCAAUCCACACACAGCUCUAAUCUAAUGAUGAGCGCUGGAAAGGAGAGUAACACUGAAUAAAGAGGAGAGGAGGCUUGUUCUCGUCUGUUGCCCUGCAGUCUGACCCAGAACAAGAGAGACGGAGGAUGGGGCGUGGUCUUUUUGAAGGUACCUUCAGACCGGUUCGAGAGGUUUGGCCUAACGUGGAAUGAGCAAUCAUACCUUUACCAAGUGGAAGGAGCAGGAAGUGAUCUUCCUCAGCUAAAGCGACUCUGCGACACAAUGGCAUCUCUUGUCCAGGAAUCCAUACUGAAUGACGGCAACAGGAAUUCAUAGGGUAACUAAUAGUUUUUUUAAUUAUUUGAAUAUGUUCAACAAUUUGACUAAAUAUUU